rnacentral:RNase_P_RNA from 1 species
CGGCCGGGCCGGGUGAUCGCGGUUGGACAGACGAAAGGGUUCAGACGAGGAAAGUCCGGGCUUCACAGGGCAGGAUGCCGGAUAACGUCCGGUGGAGGCAACUCCCAGACCAGUGCAACAGAAAUAUACCGCGUCCGCACUUCGGAGUGCAGGCGUAAGGGUGGAAAGGCAGUGUAAGAGACUACCGCCGUCGCGGUAACGGGACGGGCACAUGUAAACUCCAUUCGAAGCAAGACCGAGAAGAAAGCGAUACGGCUGCCCGUCGUGCUUUCAGGUGGGUCGCUCGAGCCUCCCGGUAACGGAAGGCCUAGAUAGAUGAUCACCCCAGACAUAACCCGGCUUACAGGCCCGACCGCAAA